rnacentral:rRNA from 1 species
AUACGGAGGAUCCGAGCGUUAUCCGGAUUUAUUGGGUUUAAAGGGUGCGCAGGCGGCCAUUUAAGUCAGCGGUUAAAUCGUGGGGCUCAACCCCAUUCUGCCGUUGAUACUGGGUGGCUUGAUUGCGGUCGAGGUUGGCGGAGUUCGUUGUGUAGCGGUGAAAUGCAUAGAUAUGACGAAGAACACCGAUUGCGUAGGCAGCUGACCAGACCGCAAAUGACGCUCAUGCACGAAAGGGCGGGGAUCGAACAGGAUUAGAUACCCUGGUAGUCCGCACAGUAAACGAUGAAUACUUGUUUUCGGCGAUAUAAUGUCGGAGGCAAAGCGAAAGCGAUAAGUAUUCCACCUGGGGAGUACGCCGGCAACGGUGAAACUCAAAUGAAUUGACGGGG